GCGAAAGUAGCUCAAUUGGUAGAGCUCCAGCCUUCCAAGCUGGAGGUUGCGGGUUCGAGACCCGUCUUUCGCU
rnacentral:tRNA from 5 species